AAACAAAAGAGACAAAAGAAGUUAGCGAAGUUAGCGAGAUUGCAACAACACACUACAAUCGCUAUGGAAAUCUUUGUUAAAACAUCGACAGACAAUACUAUCAUCAUCUCGGUUAAAGAUUCAACUUCCAUUGAGGCGGUCAAGGUCCAGAUCGAACAAAAACUGGGACUUCCCACAAAUGAGCAGAGGUUGCGUUUUGCUGGAAAGAACUUGCAAAAUGAUUUGUGUCUGUCCGACUACAAUGUACACAACAAUUCUACUCUCUACCUAUAUUGAACUUAAAAUCAAAUGGCUAUUCCAUAUAGAAGAAUUCGUGUAUAGUAUGCUAUUCAGGCCACUGUUCCAUAUUUGUUUAAUCAAAAUGCUUAGAUUCUAUAAUAUGUGGUUUGAUCAUGCAUUUAUUGCGUUUACUGUUCACAGUAUUUUCUUCAGAUGACCCAAAUCGUGGAGUUACUGGUGUUUUAAUUGUCCAGCCAAUGCUACAUAUUUCUUUUAUUAAAAUUGUUUGUUACUAGUAUAUAUAUUGUUCGCGCAAGUCUCUUUGUACCUGUAUAAUUAGUUUGUAUUAACAUGAAGAUGCUUUAAUUGUUAAUAAAAGAAAUUGUUACCUCAUUAGUAGUUUGCACUACAGUCAAAUUUAUAUGGGAUAUUGUUUUUAGCUCACCUAAGCACAAUGUCGUUAUGGUGAGCUUCCGUGAUCGCCUUUUGUCCGUCGUGCGUCGUGCGACGUCAAUAUUUGCCUUGUUGACACUAGAGGCCACAUUUAUUUUACAAUCUUCAUGAAAUUUGAUCAGAAAAUUGGUCUCAAUAAUAUCUUGGGUGAGUUCGAAAGUGGUAACGUUUGCUUGAAAAACCUGGCUGCCAAGGGCGGGGCAUUGUUCCUUAUAUUGCUAAAUAUGUAUAUAGUAAAACCUUGUUAACACUCUAGAGGCCACAUUUAUUUUCGAUCUUCAUGAAACUUGUCAGAUGAUUCAUCCCAACAAUAUCUUGGACGAGUUCGAAAAUAAUGUCGGUUGAUUUUAAAACAUGGCAACCAGGGAGCGGGGUAUUUUUCCUUAUAUGGCUAUAUAUGGCUAUAGUAAAGUCUGUUAACACUCAAGGAGCCACGUUUAUUUCCGAUCUUCAUAAAACUUGGUUAGAAGAUUCAUGCAAAUGAUAUCUUGGAAAAGUUCAAACACGAUGCCGGUUGGUUGAAAAACACGGCCGCCAGGGGGCGGGGCUUUUUCCCUUUAUGGCUAAAGUAAAACUUUGUUAACACUCCAGAGGCAACAUUUAUUUCCGAUCUUCAUGAAACUUGGUCAGAAGAUUGGCCCCAAUUAUAUCUUAGGUGAGUUUGAAAAUGGUUUCGGUUGCUUUAAAAACAUGACCACCGGGGGCGGGGCAUUUUUGCUUAUAUGGCUAUAUAUAGCUAUAGAAAAACCUUGUUUACACUCUAGAGGCCACAUUUAUUUCCAAUCUUCAUGAAAUUCGGUCAAAAGAUUGGCCUCAAUAAUAUCUUAAAUGAGUUUGAAAAUGGUUACGUUUGCUUGAAAAACAUAGCUGCGGGGCAUUUUUUCCUUAUAUGGCUUUAUUAAAAUCUUGUUAACACUCCAGAGGCCACAUUUAUUCAUCCCAAUAAUUACUUGGACGAGUUCAAAAAUGAUACUGGUUGGUUUAAAAACUUGGUCGCAAGGGGGCGGGGCAUUUUUCCUUAUAUGGCUAUAGGAAAACCUUGUUAACAAUAUAGAGGGCACAUUUUUUCGAUCUUCAUAAAAACUUGGUCAGAAGAUAUGUCCCAGUGAAAUCUUGAAUGAGUUCGAAAAUGGUAUCGGUUGCUUUAAAAACAUGGCCACCAGGGGGCGGGGCAUUUUUCUUAAUAAGGCUAUGUAUUGCUUGAGCUAAACCUUACUAACCACUCUAGAGACCACAUUUACUGUCCGAUCAUCAUAAUACUUGGUCAAACGAUUUGUCUCAAUGAUAUCUUGGAUGAGUUCGAAAAUGGUCCCGGUUGGUGGAAAAACAUGGCCGCCAAGAGGGGCGUGGCAUUUUUCCUUAUAUAGCUAUGAUUAAACCUUGUUAAAACUCUAGAAGCUAUAUUUAUUGUUCGAUCAUUAUGACACUUGGUCAGAAGAUUUGUCCCAAUUAUAUUUCGGAUAAGUUCGAAAAUGGUUCCAGUUGCUUGAAAACCAUGGCCACCAGGGGGCGGGGCAUAUUUCCUUAUAUGGACUUAUGAAUCUUUAUGAAACUUGUCAGAAUAUUUGUUUAAAUGAUAUUUUGGAUGUGUAUCAAAAUGGUUCUAGUCUGUUGAAAAAACGUGGCUGCCAGGUUGUUCACUUGUCUUGAAAGUUGGUAAGAACAUUUUGUUGUAAUGCCAUCUUAGGCUGCACAGAAGAGGUCAGUUCCUUUGAAUCUCAGGUGAGCGACUUUGGGCCUUUCAUGCCCUCUUGUUCAAAGAUAAAUAUCGCUGCCUUGGUGCAAAAGAGGUUUCAUUUGACAUUGAAAUAAGAAGGCACAUGGUACACCUUUUUCACAAAUGGGGCGAUAUGAUUAAGACUAAUACCAUUCUUACACAUAUGUUGUAGUGUUUUAUUGCUGUUUGUUUUUGGCUUAAAUGUUUAAAAUAAUUUUAAAUCAAUAUUAACAUGUCCGCUUUUGUUAAAGGUCCUAAACCGUCGUUAGGUUUUAAGCAACGUCUCUAUUAAUAUAUAACAAAUAAGAUUUCGUGGAGUACAAUAACGUGUGGUAUGUGCUCUUGUAUACAAUGGUGAAUGAAUUGCAUAUUAACAGCAAACUUCUUUACGGAACAAGCUUGAGCAUACACAUGCAAGCAAUUCUCUUAUCGGGCCACCGACAAAACGUCAGAAUGGGAGAUUUUCUUUAAGUCUUACUAGUAUUCUACUUGGAUACGCAAUUCACAAAAUCACAACUGUUGUUUUAUAGGUAAAUAUCCAUAACUAACGCAUCCAAUAUCACAAAAUAUCUUUAUAAAUAUUAAAGGGAUCUUUUACGGUUUGGUAAAUUGACAAAAUUGAGAAAAAGUUGUUUCUGGUUCGCAAAUUUUAGGUUUAGUUAUGAUAUUUGUGAGGAAACAGUAUUACUGAACAAUUGCCAUGGUCUAAUAUAGCCAUUAUAUGCAUCUUUUGACGAUUUAAACACCUGAAAAUUAUAAAACGUUGAACACGAAACGAUUGAAUAAUUUGGAGAGUUCUGUUGUUGUCGUUUAAAUUUGUGAAACUACGAAGAUUGCUUAUAUAAGGUAUAAAAUGCGCCUGCUAUUUAUGCUUGGCAGGAAAGCUCAGUUGGCUAAUGCGUUUUUACUUUAGGAUUCCGGGGGUCACUGGUUCGAGUCCUGCUGAGGGCUACUUUUUUUCCUUUUUUAAAUGUUAUUUUUGAUUUUUUACUGUAGCUUUUAAAAUUUAAUGUUAACAUUUAUCAAUAUAAAGCAUUUAAUGACAAACUUCAAAAUAUGCCAAAAUCUGUGAAAAGGUCCCUUUAAUAGGUCAAUAAAAACAUGCAUCUUUCAAGGAUUGUCUUCUGGAUGUGUGUGUGUGGCCUAUUUUACAGACCUUUGGCUUAUUCCGUACAUCGUGCAACAAAGGAGUGCAAUCAUGAUUCCAUUUUGAAUUUUCAGAUUUUUAGAAAUAUAAUAUUGUGAUUAAAUAUAUUUUAUAUUCUCUAUUUACGUUUGAUUGACUAUUAAUAUGUUGUUAAUUUUUGUAUACAAGUUAAUGUUUUAAAUUACAUAUGAUGUGAUGUUAUGCUAAUCUCUAAAAGUGUUUAAACUCCAAAUGCUUUGCUAUGACCAUUCCAUCUAGAAUUAUUAUGUGUAUGGUAAGGAUGGUUUUCUUUGCAAUUUGUCGCAUGCCUCAAAAAAAAGAGUAGCAGAAAGUAACAAACAUUCUCUACUUAUAAUUCUU